rnacentral:rRNA from 1 species
ACACCGAGCGGCGGAUCACUUGGCUCGUGGAUCGAUGAAGACCGCAGCUAUCUGCGCGUCGAAGUGUAAUCCGCAGGUUAUAUGAACAUCGACAU